rnacentral:misc_RNA from 1 species
GAUGAAGAACGUAGCGAAAUGCGAUAAGUAGUGUGAAUUGCAGAAUUCAGUGAAUCAUCGAAUCUUUGAACGCACAUUGCGCCCCUUGGUAUUCCAUGGGGCAUGCCUGUUCGAGCGUCAUCUACACCCUCAAGCUCUGCUUGGUGUUGGGCGUCUGUCCCGCCCCCGCGCGUGGACUCGCCCCAAAUCCAUUGGCAGCGUUCCUUGCCCCCUCUCGCGCAGCACAUUGCGCUUCUCGAGGGCGGCUCCGGGACGCGAUCCAGCAAGAUGACCACCGUCUUUGACCUCGGAUCAGGUAGGGAUACCCGCUGAACUUAAGCAUAUCAAAAGCGGAGGA